rnacentral:misc_RNA from 1 species
AAGAAAGCGAAGGUCAAGCCUUUUUGACAUGGUUCCGGAGAUGGCAACUGAUCCGCUGCCUGUGCCAGAAGAUGACACUUUACAUGCUUCUCAGACAAAAGAAACAGAAAACUCAAGUUCACAACCUUCGCUAAAUCUCUCUCUCAACUCAGAGUUCCAUAUGAUGGAAACUACCGUCGAAGAAAAUGGAAAAGAAUUUGAUGCACCUAAGAUGGAAGUUGCUGGUUUCCCACCUGUGAU